rnacentral:rRNA from 1 species
CCAGACUCCUACGGGAGGCAGCAGUGGGGAAUAUUGCACAAUGGGGGAAACCCUGAUGCAGCGACGCCGCGUGAGUGAAGAAGUAUUUCGGUAUGUAAAGCUCUAUCAGCAGGGAAGAAAAUGACGGUACCUGAUUAAGAAGCCCCGGCUAACUACGUGCCAGCAGCCGCGGUAAUACGUAGGGGGCAAGCGUUAUCCGGAUUUACUGGGUGUAAAGGGAGCGUAGACGGCAGCACAAGUCUGGAGUGAAAUGCCGUGGCUUAACCCCGGAACUGCUUUGGAAACUGUGCAGCUAGAGUGCAGGAGAGGCAGGCGGAAUUCCCAGUGUAGCGGUGAAAUGCGUAGAUAUUGGGAGGAACACCAGUGGCGAAGGCGGCCUGCUGGACAUUAACUGACGCUGAGGCGCGAAAGCGUGGGGAGCAAACAGGAUUAGAUACCCGCGUAAA